AUCAUCAUCAGCUCGAUCUUCUUCGUCCAGUCCAGUCUCAUUCGUCGCACCUCGUGCAGUCCUACAAUAACCAACAUACAUCUUCGACAUCAAAUUUGUCACCAAUGGCAGUUGACGACGACGACAGGCGGCGCGCCCUUGUCGCACACGGAGACGCAGACUUGCUAUUCUUCUUGAUCUUUGUGCUCUUCUUGAAUUUUUUUGUUUUUUCGCGUCGCGUGCUCUUUUACUCGUGUCUGUUCGUCUAUCUUUACUUUUUGAUUCUCUUUAUGAUUGUCUUCUUCUUUUUUUUCGGACUCCGACGUUUGGGGGGUCCCCUCGUUUGAGUAGGUAUUGAUGUGCAGGACGGGAACUUGGCUUGAUGAUUUUGUCGACUUGACGUUCGAGAUGCCAUUUUACGUCCACGGUCCAAAGUCACAAAGUCGAUAGUCCGAGAUUCAUCCACUUCACAACAUCAAUUCUAUCCUCGAGGGCUACUCAUAGUCACCCCAGGACUGAAUUGGGAGGGACGGCUUCGUGGUUGUGUCUCUUC